GCUCCUUGUUCAGGAAGACUUGUCUUUCAGACUUCUGCCCUGAUCUUGCCAAGUCUCACAAAAUGAAUGAUCUGCUAUGUAUUUCAAAGAAGGAAAGUCCUCCAAAAAGAAAUCCACAUCCAUGAAGGAAGUGAAGCUGGCCUUUCAUUUAUAUCAUUUUGCAGAAAAACAUCUGAUGUAGUUUGGACCACAAGAGGCUCACAGAUCACAUUCCGAGAAACAAAAAAUUAUUGAUGUCCAUACCCUUUUGGUAGACUUUUACUUCCUUUGAGUUUCUCUUAAGAGUUACACUGGACAUCUGCACAUCCUGAAGAAAAAUCAAAGGUAAAAGAUCCUCUAUUCUGACUGAUAUUAGCAUUUGCUUUUGCACAUAAAAAAGAGAAAAAUAAAAUCAGACAAAGAAGAACCCUACUUUAUUAA
rnacentral:lncRNA from 1 species